ACCUGUGUCGAAAGUGACUGUGGAGCCACCGUCUCCAGGUCAUUGAUAAAACAGGAAGAGGAAGUGAAA
rnacentral:snoRNA from 1 species